UACGAAGGGGGCUAGCGUUGUUCGGAUUUACUGGGCGUAAAGCGCACGUAGGCGGAUCGUUAAGUCAGGGGUGAAAUCCUGGAGCUCAACUCCAGAACUGCCUUUGAUACUGGCGAUCUUGAGUCCGGAAGAGGUGAGUGGAACUCCUAGUGUAGAGGUGGAAUUCGUAGAUAUUAGGAAGAACACCAGUGGCGAAGGCGGCUCACUGGCCCGAUACUGACGCUGAGGCACGAAAGCGUGGGGAGCAAACAGG
rnacentral:rRNA from 1 species